rnacentral:rRNA from 1 species
UACGUAGGGUGCAAGCGUUACUCGGAAUUACUGGGCGUAAAGCGUGCGUAGGCGGUUUGUUAAGUCUGUUGUGAAAGCCCUGGGCUCAACCUGGGAAUGGCAUUGGAUACUGGCAGUCUAGAGUGCGGUAGAGGGUAGCGGAAUUCCCGGUGUAGCAGUGAAAUGCGUAGAUAUCGGGAGGAACAUCCGUGGCGAAGGCGGCUACCUGGACCAGCACUGACACUGAGGCACGAAAGCGUGGGGAGCAAACAGG